AAUGAACGUUGGCGGCGUGGAUUAGGCAUGCAAGUCGAGCGAGAAGUUUCCCUUCGGGGAAGCGGACAGCGGCGAAAGGGAGAGUAAUGCGUGGAUACCUACCCUCGGGUUCGGGAUAGCUGCGGGAAACUGCAGGUAAUACCGAAUAACAUCUCCGGAUCAAAGGUGUGAUUCCGCCGGAGGAGGGGUCCACGUCCUAUUAGCUUGUUGGCGAGGUAACGGCUCACCAAGGCGAAGAUGGGUAUGGGGUGUGAGAGCAUGGCCCCACUCACUGGGACUGAGACACUGCCCAGACACCUACGGGUGGCUGCAGUCGAGAAUCUUCGGCAAUGGGGGAAACCCUGACCGAGCGACGCCGCGUGCGAGAUGAAGGCCUUCGGGUUGUAAAUCGCUGUCGGAGGGGAGGAAAUGCCAGUGGGUUCUCCCAUUGGUUGACCUAGCCU
rnacentral:rRNA from 1 species